GGUUUUCAGACGAGAUUUGAAAAUGGAGAGAGAGUUGAUAUUACGGAUGUCUGGAGGGAAGGAGUUCUAGAGUCGACAAAAGGCUCUGAAGCCCAUGGUGGUCAAACAGGUGGGACUGUGAGGUGGAGACAGGAAGAGGACCUGAGAGUGCGAGGAGGGGGGUGCUGAUAUGAAGGAGGUGGGAAAGGUACAGAGUGGCUGGGUUAUGAAUGGCUUUGAAGGUCAGAGGCAGAAUCUUAAAAUCGAUGCGGUAGGUGAGCGAGAGCCGAUAGAGCUGCUGAAGAAUUAGGGUGCUGUGAUUGCUGGAUGGGGUUCUGGAAAUGAUGCGGGCGACAGAAUUGUGGACUAACUGUGUCGAGGGAUUUCUAUGGGAGACCAGAGAGGAGGCAGUAAUCAAUCCGGGAAGUGACCAGUGAGUGAACUAAAAUAGCAGCAGAGCUUGGAGUGAGGGAUGAACGAAGGCGAUUAAUAUAACGCAGAUGGAAGUAUGCUGACCUGGUAAUGUUAAUAAUGUGAGGUUGGAAAGAUAGUGUGCUGUCGAGGAUGACACCCAGACUCUUAACCUGAGGGGAGGGAGAACAGUGAGGUGAUCAAUUGUAAGGAAAAAACUGUCCGAUUUGGCUAAAGUUGAUUUACUGCCAAUAAGAAGAAGUUCUGUUUUAUCACUGUUGAGUUUUAGGAAAUUGUGAGAGAACCAGGCUUUGAUUUUCUUAAGGAAUUCACAGAGGAAGGAGGGAGGCAGGGUAGAGUUGUGUUUGUCAAAAAGGUAGAGCAGGAUGUCAUCCGCAUAGCAGUGGAAAUUAAUAUUGAAUUUACAGAAGAGGAAGUUUGUAGAUAAUGAAGAGAAGGGGGCCUGAAACAGAACCUUGGUGAACACCAGAAGAGAUAGGAAAGGAAUAGGCUUGGAAUGAUUUAAGUUGUAUGAACUGAGUGCAGCCAGAGGUAUGAUUUAAACUAGUGCAGAGGUGUGUUAGUAAUCCCAACUAAAGCCAGUCUAUCUAGGAGGAUAUGAUGAGAAAUGGUGCCAAAGGCCACACAGAGAUCAGGGAGGAUGAAGAUGGUUAAGAGUCCAGAAUCAGCUGCCACGUGAAGAUCAUUGGUGAUUUUACCAAAGCUGUUUCUGUGCUAUGCAGUGGGCAAAAACCGGACUGAAGGUGUUCGUAGAGGUGAUUUACAGGUAGGUGUGUGUGUGGAGGUUAGAUGCAACUGUUUUGUCAAGGAUUUUGGAAAGAAGGUUUAGAAAUUGGACAAAAGUUAUCAAGAUUGUCAGGGUCUGAGCCAGGUUUCUCAAGUAUUGGUGUUAUUGCAGCUGAUUCUAAAGAUGAAGGAACAGCACCGGAGGUCAGUGAUGAAUGAAUGAUGUUAGUUAUCAGGGUGACCAGAGAGGGUAAAUGGGGUUUCACAAGGACAGUUAGAAGAGGGUCUAACUGACAGGUACACUACAGGCCAAAAGUUUGGAAGCAAGAUCAGAUUUGUUCAAAAAAGAUCAUAGUUUCAUAUAUAUAAUUUGCAACAUAUGAACAUGACUAUUGUUAAAAGAGCAACUUAUCAGAAGACAUUUUGACUAUAAUUAUUAGGUAUUUGAGUUAUUGUUGCUUAGACUUUGCUUUCUUUAAAGUAAACUCCUCUGGCUUUAACAACAGCUUGGCAUAUACCAGGCAUUCGUUCCACAAGUUUUUUAAGGUAUGUUCCAGGGAUUGCAUUUCAAGCUUUCUUAAGUUCAUUAAAAAGAGGCUGCUGAUUCGUGGGACGCGUUUUUCUUUCCAAUUCAUCCCGCACAAGCUCAAUUGGAGAAAGGUCAGGAGACUGAGGGGGCCAAACCAUCUUUUGAAGAACACCUUCCUCUUCUUUGUUGUCUAGGUAACCCUGACAGAGUUUGGCAGAGUGCUUAGGGUCAUUGUCUUGCUGCAAAACAAACUUAUGAGCCACAAGUCUGAGUCCAGAUGGAACAGCAUGGUGCUGGAGGAUGGAGUGGUACUGUUCCUUCUUCAUGAUACCCUUUACUUCAAACAAAUCUCCUACUGCAUCACCUGCAAAACAUCCCCCUACCAUGGAACUACCACCUCCAUGCUUAAUUGUGGGUGUAACACAUGGUGCUUUCAGACGUUCACCAGUUUGUCUGCGGACAUAGACUCUGCGUUUUAACCCGAACAGUGCAAACUUGUUUUUAGUCAUCAUAAGUCCAAUUUUUGUGAGCUUUUGCCCACUCAUAUCUUUUUUUCUUGUUCUGUGGACGUAGUAGUGUUUUUUUGCAGAUACACAACCCUUCAGACCAGCCUUUCUCAAACGUCAUUUCACAGUUGUCAGAGAUAUGGGUUUCGACCUUGUCAUGUUGAUUUCCUCCCUUAUUUUUGGUGCUGUCUUUUGCCGAUCUCUCUUACUGGUGACAAUGCUAUGUUGAUCCUCUGCUUUUGUAGUAACUUUCUUUUGUCCAGGUCUUUUUCUAUCAUCAAAACUUCCAGGUUCCUCUAGUCUCUUCAGAGUGUAGUGGACUCCUUUGUUAAACACCUUUAGGCGUUUUGCAAUUUCUCUUUCUGUGUAUCCUUCUUUCCUCAAUGUACAAAUCUGUACUUUUGUUUCUUUACUCAGUUGCUUCUUUCUAGCCAUUUUUGCGAUAGUUUGAAUGCAGUUGAGAUUUAUUAGGAUUGUUGUGUGCAGACUCUCAAAAGCCAAAAAGUUGAAGUGAAUAAUCCAACUGUGAUUUGUUUUUGUUUUGUUUUUUUUUUUGCUUUUGCACUGAAGUUGUGACUCUUGCAAAUGUUUUCAACCCUAAAACUAAGCCCUUAUUAUCUUUUGCUGACAUAUAUUUAGCAAUGGUCUGUUAACAUCAAUGUAUAUCUAAAGGUAAAUGGAGUAAAAUGGUACAUUUCCAUGAAAGCAACAUCUGAUCAUGGAGUAAAUACAUCCCAAAAUACAUAAAACUCAUGCUGGGUUUAAAAAAAAAAAACAUUGUGAACAAAAACUUGAAGUUACUCCCAACUGUUCGGCCUGUAAUGGCCUUGCUUCCAAACUUUUGGCCUGUAGUGAACAUGUCUUGGCUUCAAGAGUAAGAUCUGAAAUUUCAGAAACAGGAGGAAGAUAAAGAGCCAUUAGUUUAUCAUAUCAAUUUACCAGCCACAAUAUUGAUUGAAAUUUCAUGUGAUGUACACAUUUAUUUCAAUAUAUUUUGAUGACAUAUUAAGGUAUAAUCAUGAAAAUAAACUUAAAGAGGAGAUCAGAGCAGCAUCUGAAGCAAAAAUGAUUGUCAUAGAUUUCUGUUUGAGCCACUGAAGUCCCAUGAGGUUGGGCUAUCAACUCCAAAAGAAAGAGGCCACAGAGGAAAACUGCUCACAAAUAACACAAAGAACAUCCUGUAACUAAUGGCUGCAAAGAGCUCCUACAAUAACUCUUAUAUAUCUACAUAUUAGAGUAAUACAAUUAUAAACCAGUCAGCUUUAUUACCAUUCUAUCAUGUGAAUGUCAGAGUGCUUGUUGAGGCUGACAAAUAAUGUAAUUGUCUGAUAUGUCAAGAAUAUCCUGUACAAAUAAAUCUAAGGUGUGAAAACGUGCUGCUUCACCACUCACAGGAAUGAAGACAGAGAAAAGCUGAUAGAAAAAUAACAUGUACCUAAGAAUGGGCAUCAAAACCAGUUUCCGUACAGAACUUAAAAAUCAAUCAUAUUUAAUCUCAUCAACACUUCUGUUGAGGCUCAUGGGUCCCC